UAAAGACAGCCAGGCAUAGAGGACCCUUGCAAGUUCCUGAAAUGUGCAAAAUCAACACUGACCAGCAACUGUAUUUGUUGGCAGGGGAGACUCAGGGCUUGUUUGCAUUGGAAUGCCUCAUCGAGGAGGGCUGCAAACUCUCUUUUGGAAUAUUUCAGAGAUGAAAGGCUUUUGGGAGCCCUCCUGCUGGGUUUCCCAAUGCCAAAAACAUUGCCAAAACCUGUGACCCAGAUAACGGGAGCAGGGGUCAUGCGAUGGGGAGAAUUUGUUGAUGGUCUCAGAGCGCUGGGAACACUGGAAUACUGGCCAAAGACUGUAGACUCAGGAAACAGAAACUCUGACCUCUUAUGAAACCAACAGCAAAGAGUCCCGCUGUUCUCAAUAUUCAAUGCCAGGAGCUAGACAAUGAUCUAUGAAACAUUCAAAGUGAAUGAAUGCCAUUACUUUAGAAAAAUACAAAAUAACAACAUCGGGAGAAAUGCUGAGGAAUUUGUGUUUCUGAGGACCCUAGUAUUUGCCUCUCUGCAUAGUGUGGGUCUAUAGUAGGUAUGGAGACAGGGGGUGGGGGUUUUGCCUCUCUGUAUACAGUGUGGGUCUAUAGUAGGUAUGGAGACAGGGGGUGGGGGUUUUGCCUCUCUGUAUACAGUGUGGGUCUAUAGUAGGUAUGGAGACAGGGGGUGGGGGUUUUGCCUCUCUGUAUACAGUGUGGGUCUAUAGUAGGUAUGGAGACAGGGUGUGGGGGUUUUGCCUCUCUGUAUACAGUGUGGGUCUAUAGUAGGUAUGGAGACAGGGGGUGGGGGUUUUGCCUCUCUGUAUACAGUGUGGGUCUAUAGUAGGUAUGGAGACAGGGGGUGGGGGUUUUGCCUCUCUGUAUACAGUGUGGGUCUAUAGUAGGUAUGGAGACAGGGGGUGGGGGUUUUGCCUCUCUGUAUACAGUGUGGGUCUAUAGUAGGUAUGGAGACAGGGUGUGGGGGUUUUGCCUCUCUGUAUACAGUGUGGGUCUAUAGUAGGUAUGGAGACAGGGUGUGGGGGUUUUGCCUCUCUGUAUACAGUGUGGGUCUAUAGUAGGUAUGGAGACAGGGGGUGGGGGUUUUGCCUCUCUGUAUACAGUGUGGGUCUAUAGUAGGUAUGGAGACAGGGGGUGGGGGUUUUGCCUCUCUGUAUACAGUGUGGGUC